rnacentral:rRNA from 1 species
CCUACGGGUGGCUGCAGUCGAGAAUCAUUCACAAUGGGGGAAACCCUGAUGGUGCGACGCCGCGUGGGGGAAUGAAGGUCUUCGGAUGGUAAACCCCUGUCAUGUGGGAGCAAAUUAAAAAGAUAGUACCACAAGAGGAAGCGACGGCGAACUCUGUGCCAGCAGCCGCGGUAAUAGAGAGGUCUCAAGCGAUGUUCGGAAUAACGGGGCGUAAAGCGUGCGUAGGCGGGUAGGUAAGUCGUGUGUGAAAGGCGCGGGCUCAACCCGCGGACGGCACAUGAUACUGCGAGACUGGCGUAAUGGAGGGGGAACCGGAAUUCCCGGUGUAGCAGUGAAAUGCGUAGAUAUCGGGAGGAACACUCGUGGCGAAGGCGGGUUCCUGGACAUUAACUGACGCUGAGGCACGAAGGCCAGGGGAGCGAAAGGGAUUAGAUACCCCUGUAGUC